GAGCGUGAGGGGCCAGCAGUUGUUCGGAAUUACUGGGUGUAAAGGGUUCGUAGCGGUGCGGCAAGUCGGGAGUGAAUCUGCUGGCUCAACCAGGAGCUGACUUCGAACUGCUGUGUUGAGUGUGGGAGAGGCGCGUGGAAUUGCAGGUGUAGCGGUGAAAUGCGUAGAUAUCUGACAGAAACACCCGUGGCGAAAGCGGCGCGCUGGACCACUACUGACGCUGAAGAACGAAAGCUAGGGGAGCAAACAGG
rnacentral:rRNA from 1 species